rnacentral:lncRNA from 1 species
AUUAAAACAACUUCUAAUUGUGGAGGAAGACAGCACUUGGUACGGACUAGGUCCGUGUGAUGUGUAGCCGGUGACAUGCUGUUCUCCAGAUUCCAAGAUGCCCCUGAAGUUGCUGUGGCUGUCCUGGUGUGUGGGGGUGGUUGGAACAAAGAAUUCGUGACCAAUGUUCUUUUCCACACAGUUCACAAGGAGGCGGCAGGAAUGCUGUGUGAGCUAUUUUGGUCCUGGCUGCGUAGGAGUUGCUGGAGGCUGCUCUGGGGUUUGUGAAGGCCUCUACCUCUUAGGAGGUUUCUUCAGGGGAUGUCCUGUUCACUUUACAGGACACCAAAAGCCUUUAAUCAACUGCCUACUUUUAGUGCUGAAAUGGUGGAGGUGGCUGGCACAAACCAGAGUUUGCUGACUCCUUCCUUUUCUAGAGAGAGAAGAGCGGAGUGCAGAACACAAGGCCAACAAGGACCACUUGAGAGGAUCAGCAACGGAGAGUCAUCUGCGUCUCAUGGAGGCGUCUCCUCCUCAACACAACUUUCUAAACCUGUCCAGCCGGUCAAGAAUCACUGCUGCUCUACCCAGUGACACACACUCCCUCUGAAAAAGCCUGGAAUUGCACAUGAUUAAAAGAAAAAAAAAAAGCAACUAAAGAAAAAGGCUCU